UGGGGAAUAUUGCGCAAUGGGGGAAACCCUGACGCAGCGACGCCGUGUGAGGGAAGAAGGCCUUCGGGUCGUAAACCUCUGUCGGGAGGGAAGAACCGCCGGUUUCCGAACAGGGAGCCGGCCUGACGGUACCUCUAGAGGAAGCGCCGGCUAACUCCGUGCCAGCAGCCGCGGUAAUACGGAGGGCGCGAGCGUUAAUCGGAAUCACUGGGCGUAAAGCGCGCGUAGGCGGCCAGAUAAGUCGGGCGUGAAAGCCCUCGGCCCAACCGAGGAACUGCGUUCGAUACUGUUUGGCUUGAGUCCUGGAGAGGGUGGCGGAAUUCCGGGUGUAGGAGUGAAAUCCGUAGAUAUCCGGAGGAACACCGGUGGCGAAGGCGGCCACCUGGACAGGUACUGACGCUGAGGUGCGAAAGCGUGGGGAGCAAACAGGAUUANAUACCCUGGUAGUCCACGCUGUAAACGAUGGAUGCUAGGUGUCGGGGGGCGACCUUCGGUGCCGAAGUUAACGCAUUAAGCAUCCCGCCUGGGGAGUACGGUCGCAAGGCUGAAACUCAAAGGAA
rnacentral:rRNA from 1 species